UGGGGGCGUAGUUCAGUUGGUUAGAACGCUGGCCUGUCACGCCAGAGGUCGCGAGUUCGAGUCUCGUCGUCCCCGU
rnacentral:tRNA from 1 species